rnacentral:RNase_P_RNA from 1 species
GCUGCGGGUUACGCGAUCGCGGGGGAGGUAUCCCUCGAGGAAAGUCCGGACACCAAAGGGCAAGGCGGUGGGUAACGCCCACCCGGGGAAACCCGCGGGAAAGUGCCGCAGAAAAGACACGGCCGAUGGCGCGGCCACACGUGAGUCGCGUACAGGCAAAGGUGAAAUGGUGCGGUAAGAGCGCACCGGCGGCGCGGUGACGCGACGCGCAAGGCAAACCCCGCCAGGUGCAAGGCCAAGCAGGACCGACGACCCGGCUCGGCGAGGUCCAGGUAGGCCGCAUAGAUGGAUGGCUGCCCCCGACAGGAUCCGGCUUACAGGCUCACUAAGGAA